rnacentral:rRNA from 1 species
UACGGGGGGGCGAAGCGUUGUUCGGAAUUACUGGGCGUAAAGGGCGCGUAGGCGGCCUGCUAAGUCACACGUGAAAUCCCUCGGCUCAACCGGGGGAACUGCGUGUGAUACUGGGCGGGCUUGAAUUCGGGAGAGGGAUGUGGAAUUCCAGGUGUAGCGGUGAAAUGCGUAGAUAUCUGGAGACACCGGUGGCGAAGGCGGCGUUCUGGGACUGCUACUGACGACUGAGGAACGAAAGCCAGGGGAGCAAACGGG